rnacentral:ncRNA from 23 species
AUCAGUCAAAAUAAACAAACUCGUAUAAUCUCGGGAAUUGGCCCGGGAGUCUCUACCUAAUCACCGGAAUGAUUAGCCUACGAGUGAUGCAACCUCAUAU